rnacentral:rRNA from 1 species
GACGAGGGGUCCAAGCGUUGUUCGGAAUCAUUGGGCGUAAAGCGGGUGUAGGCGGCUCUAUAAGUCAGAAGUGAAAGCCCCGGGCUCAACCCGGGAAGUGCUUUUGAUACUGCAGAGCUUGAAUGUGGGAGAGGGUAGUGGAAUUCCAGGUGUAGUGGUGAAAUACGUAGAUAUCUGGAGGAACACCGGUGGCGAAGGCGGCUACCUGGCCCAACAUUGACGCUGAGACCCGAAAGCGUGGGGAGCAAACAGG